rnacentral:rRNA from 1 species
GACGAACGCUGGCGGCGUGCUUAACACAUGCAAGUCGAACGGAAAGGCCCUGCUUUUGUGGGGUGCUCGAGUGGCGAACGGGUGAGUAACACGUGAGUAACCUGCCCUUGACUUUGGGAUAACUUCAGGAAACUGGGGUUAAUACCGGAUAGGAGCUCCUGCUGCAUGGGGGGGGUUGGAAAGUUUCGGCGGUUGGGGAUGGACUCGCGGCUUAUCAGCUUGUUGGUGGGGUAGUGGCUUACCAAGGCUUUGACGGGUAGCCGGCCUGAGAGGGUGACCGGCCACAUUGGGACUGAGAUACGGCCCAGACUCCUACGGGGGGCAGCAGUGGGGAAUAUUGCACAAUGGGCGGAAGCCUGAUGCAGCAACGCCGCGUGCGGGAUGACGGCCUUCGGGUUGUAACCCGCUUUCGCCUGUGACGAAGCGUGAGUGACGGUAAUGGGUAAAGAAGCACCGGCUAACUACGUG